AGAGCAGGAUGCAGCCAAGGAUGACUUGCCGGCCGGCGACGGCGAGGUUAAUUGGUCUGUCUGUUGAUCCGGCAAGUUUGUCCUUGGCUACACCUUGCUCUCU
rnacentral:pre_miRNA from 1 species